AGCGAACGCUGGCGGCAGGCCUAACACAUGCAAGUCGAACGAACUCUGCGGAGUUAGUGGCGGACGGGUGAGUAACACGUGGGAAGGGGCCUGGAGGUUGGGAAGAACUCAGGGAAACGUGUGCUAAGACCGAAUGUGCACGUCGGGGGAAAGAUCUAUCGCCUUUAGAGCGGCCCGCGUCUGAUUAGCUCGUUGGUGAGGGAACGGCUCACCAAGGCGACGAUCAGUAGCUGGUCUGCGCGGAUGGCCAGCCACACGGGGACGUGAGACCCGUCCCCGCCUCCUACGGGAGGCAGCAGUUGGGCCUCUUGCGCACUGGGCGAAAGCCUGACGCAGCCAUGCCGCGUGAAUGAUGCCGUUCUUAGGAUUGUAAACUUCUUUCACCGGGGACGAUAAUGACGGUACCCGGAGCCGCCGCCCCGGCUAACUUCGUGCCAGCAGCCGCGGUAA
rnacentral:rRNA from 1 species